rnacentral:rRNA from 1 species
CCGUUAACCUGGCCUUGACAUACUAAGAACUUUCCAGAGAUGGAUUGGUGCCUUCGGGAACUUAGAUACAGGUGCUGCAUGGCUGUCGUCAGCUCGUGUCGUGAGAUGUUGGGUUAAGUCCCGCAACGAGCGCAACCCUUUUCCUUAUUUGCCAGCGGGUUAAGCCGGGAACUUUAAGGAUACUGCCAGUGACAAACUGGAGGAAGGCGGGGACGACGUCAAGUCAUCAUGGCCCUUACGGCCAGGGCUACACACGUGCUACAAUGGUCGGUACAAAGGGUUGCUACCUCGCGAGAGGAUGGCUAAUCUCAAAAAGCCGAUCGUAGUCCGGAUCGCAGUCUGCAACUCGACUGCGUGAAGUCGGAAUCGCUAGUAAUCGCGGAUCAGAAUGCCGCGGUGAAUACGUUCCCGGGCCUUGUACACACCGCCCGUCACACCAUGGGAGUUUGUUGCACCAGAAGUAGGUAGUCUAACCGCAAGGAGGACGCUUACCACGGUGUGGCCGAUGACUGGGGUGAAGUCGUAACAAGGUAAGCGUAGAUGA